AGUGAACGCUGGCGGUAGGCCUAACACAUGCAAGUCGAACGGCAGCACAGUAAGAGCUUGCUCUUACGGGUGGCGAGUGGCGGACGGGUGAGGAAUACAUCGGAAUCUACUUUUUCGUGGGGGAUAACGUAGGGAAACUUACGCUAAUACCGCAUACGACCUACGGGUGAAAGCAGGGGAUCUUCGGACCUUGCGCGAUUGAAUGAGCUGAUGUCGGAUUAGCUAGUUGGCGGGGUAAAGGCCCACCAAGGCGACGAUCCGUAGCUGGUCUGAGAGGAUGAUCAGCCACACUGGAACUGAGACACGGUCCAGACUCCUACGGGAGGCAGCAGUGGGGAAUAUUGGACAAUGGGCGCAAGCCUGAUCCAGCCAUACCGCGUGGGUGAAGAAGGCCUUCGGGUUGUAAAGCCCUUUUGUUGGGAAAGAAAAGCAGCAGGUUAAUACCCCGCUGUUCCGACGGUACCCAAAGAAUAAGCACCGGCUAACUUCGUG
rnacentral:rRNA from 1 species